UCAUAUGCAAAGCAUGCCGAGCCCCAUCCGUGCUAUCUCCUAAAGCAGUCAUUCUGAAACCCAAUCUGGGGACAGUGCAGACUAAAUAAAAUUUCAUUUUGAUUUGGCCUCCCGCUGCGAAUGGGACUGCUUUGUCUCAGCCGACAGAACGAGCGAGCCAGAAAGAUUUAAUACCAAUGAAAUGGACAAAAUGCAAUCAACAGUUCAAAUACGGAGAAAAGACUUGGCACUAAGUUCUAACUCUUUGAUUAGCAAGUUACCCAUUUCAGAGAAUGGAAAACUAAGUCAAGGAAUGAAGACAUAGGGACAAGUAUAGAUUACUGAUACGGAGACGUGUGUGCCACAGGGAAACCAUGAUCCAAGCUCGUGUUGAAACAUACUGUGUUAUUGUUCUUAGACUGAACUUUGGAAAUAAGUACCACAAAUUCGAAUUCUGUCGUCAUGGAUGAAGCACCUGUGAUGUGCCAAUCAUGGAGCUUUGCAGAUAUAAGAACACCAUCCCUGAGCAUAAGAAGGAAGAGGAAGAGACAUCACUGCUGGGUCCUCUGCCUUGUUUGAUGCUUCCUUCCUGUUCACAAUUGUCCAUGAGAUAGGUAUCAGAUCCCCCAGGAGGUUGCCUAACUCUCUGCUUUCUCAGAGCCUGGAUUGAACCCCGGUCUGAUGGACUCCAAAGCAAGACUUGUUUACAGCCUGAGAUGAUCCAGGGACGAGAGGGAACAGUCAAGGCUCAAAUCCAGAUGCCUCAGCCACGUGCAGCAGGCGCUGGAGAAGAAGCUAUGCAAGGGACGAUAACAGAAGCCACCUCUCAUCCCAGAUAUUCUUGUAAAACCAAGUAUGAGCUUGGUUUGCUAUACGAGCAGCUCCUACUGGACUCUAAGGAGUCUAAUUAUUCAGCAAGGAUUUUGCCCUGAACUCUAGAGAGUUAAGUAUUUUGUGUCCAUCUUACAGAUGAGAGACAUAAAAUGCAUAAAGUAAAAUAUUUCUCCGAAGCUGUGAUGAAUGAAUUAUAGAGCUGGACAUGGGAGAAAAGCCAGAGACGCUUCCAGUGGUGGUAGAGGGUAUCAGCCUUCCCUUGUCACCAUAUCUGAUUCCAAAAUAGGCUUCCUAACUUUGUAACAUUCUCAGGUGGGAGAAGUCAAGUGUGAUACACAGCACACAAACUGCCUCAAAAUACCUUGGGCACACUUUUUUUUAAAGGGGAACUCCACUUGAGUAAUAGUCAAUUAUUUAGAGCCUUUUAGGUGUCAGGCACUGUUCCAAGUAUCUGAUGUAUAUCAACUUCUCAAAACAACCCUAUAAGAACGGGAAAACACCCCACAGAUCCUGCAUACUAUUCUCUGUGGAAUGAAGGUAUGAAGGUCAAUAUGCUUUACAUCUGUUGGUUUGAAAAACGGAGACCGGCUGUGCUCAGCCGAGAAACCAAGAGGAAACCUAAUAUUUCAAGACUGUGUCUCUUCCCGAGCAAGGAAAAUGCAGACCGACCAGUCUCAGUUGGAGGAACGGAGGGAAAACAGUGACAGGAGGGAGGAAGUCGCCUGAAAUGAUGUGCACGGUUUGGGGUUCGGGAUGGGAGAUGGCGCACGGGGGCUUUACGCCAUCUCACGAUUGGAAACAUGGUGCUCGGAUUCAGCUCCAAGCACAUCCCAGAGCUUUAAACUCCGUCUGUGUGUUCAUUCAACUUGGCAACAAAAUGCAAAGUGGCAGCAGCAGGUACUUUAGGACUCUUCACAGUGUGGAGAUUUCACACGGAUCCUGAAACCGUAGGCACACAAUUACUGCUGCCGGGAAGGAGCUGCAUUUGCAGGAUCCCCUUGACAUCUGCCUCAUUUCAAUAAUUUCCAGCCAUUGAACCUCUGUCUGAAUGAGCAUUAGGAAACAGAGGCAGCCUUGCUUACUAAUUUGAGUCUCUCUCUCCAGUUUGAAUGUGAUGCUUGUGAAAGCACUCGUUGACGGUUUUGAUGUCUGCAGCUUUCCCUCCAUAUGACCAGACACGUUCGCACAGUCUCCAUGUACAUCAAGGUAGGGAAGGGGAGCCUGGUGGUGGCUACCUUUACCUCCCGUCAGCAGUACCAUCAGCUGAGCUGUGCGGACAUUUCUCUGUUAAGAACUGAGCUGUGACCUGCAGAGGCCGUCGAAGACCUUCCCAGGCGAGGUCAUGCCCUUCAGUCAUUACAUCCUGGAUUUGAAACUGAGACCUACCCGUUUGCCCCAUGCAAAGAACAAGUGCUCUGACAUCGAUUUGCCCUAAGACGUGAUGAGCUGCUCUAACUUGACCCGUGGGGGGGAGUGGAAUACCUCACCUGUGGGUGAGAUCCACCUUGGUAUCCAUCAGCUUUGAUGAGGACAAGUCUUGAGAGACAAGCCAAUGGGAGUGGUUCAGAUACAUCUGCGACAUGAGGACUCUUAACACCUGUUUGUGCAGCCUCUCCUCCCCCCAAACUCUGUCCUUUGCCUCCAGUCAAUGUUCUUGGUCCAUUCGGAAGAAUCGUGAAUAUUCUUAGUCAUCCUAAAUUACUAAUAUAUAUUCACUAAUGUCAGAGAUCUGUACAGGUGAUUCCCGAGCUUAUUACAGGAACACGUUCCCGCAUUGCUACUGGGCAUAUUCUCCAUGUCUCCUUUUCCAGAUUACUGACUCAAUUUAAGAUUACAUCCUCUGCUCCUUUGCUGGUAUUGCAUUUGCCCUGUAAAACUCAUUCCCUUCACAUCACAGGACGUCUAGACACACGGGGGGCGUUCCGAGACUGGGCGUGAGAUGUGUUUGAUGCUGUUUCUUUAACGUGAUCCACUCUUUCUUUGAUCUGCGAAGCUCCCCACCAUCCUGUCAUGGUUAUGGGGAUCCCGGGAUUGAGCAUCCAAGGCUGCUUAAGUAUUAAUUGUCUCGCGUCAGAUGAUUUUUCUCUCGGCCACAUUCAGCCUGCUGCCUCUGCAGUAUGGCGUGCAGUGCCUCACUGCAUCACUGAGGAAAGAAACGGUAAAUUAAGUAGAUUUUCAAAUUGCCCAUUGAACUCACAUCAUUAAAUAAUUCUAUAAGAAAUUCAUAAGCGGAGACAAGUAGAAAGAUUAAAAUGCUACAAAUUAUAUGUGGGGCGUAGCGGGGAGUGUAUACCUUUUUUGUCCUUUGUUCCGGCCACAAAGCACCCACAGCUAGGCAUGGUUCUGCCCACGGCUUAACAAUGAGUACCUUUAAGGAAGCGUGACCCCUGAGUGCCCCCAAAAGGGAGAUUAUUGUAACAGCAUUUUGCUCAUCUCUAGGAACUGGUUUACCACACCUUGCAUCGCUCAGGUUACACUUGCCCCAGAGAGGCAUUAAGUUUCUAUCUUUCCCUCUUCCUUCCUCCCCCCUGGUUUUUCUGCACCUCACUUCCCAUCCUACCAGCAGCAAGGAAGUGGGGAAGGAACAGCGCUUCUCUUGCAUAUAAGGUACUUUCAUCUCCUUCACCCCACAAUGCCAGAAACGUCCUAGCCAGCCGGGGUCAUUGGUGUUUUUCUCUGCCAUUCUUCUUUGUCAUUCCAUCCUACCUCUUUGAUGGCUGUUGAGUCUAAUCACCCUCAUUUUCUCUGUUUCUACCUGGCGUGUACACCUCAUGAAACCAAAGGCAGUUCUAUUUUCAAACCACUGGCCCUCAGCACACAAAAUGGCACCUGGCCCACAAGUAGUGCUCUGGCAUCUAAGGCUGUGUAACUAACCACUCCAAAAUGUAGUUGCGUAAAGCAAGAACCAUUCUCAUUAUCUCUCAUGGGGUCUGUGGGUCAGGAACCAGGGAGGGGCUAGUUCCUGACCCACAGUCUCAACGGUUCUGCCUCAGGGUCUCCCAUGCAGUUGCAGGAGACAUAGCAACUGGGGACUUUCUGAGCAUCUUUUUCUCUUCCAUAGGCUCAGAGCCUCUCAGUUUGGUCUCUCUCCAUCUGGUUAGUUGUGCUUCCUUACAGCGUGGCUGUCUCAGGAUAGAAGGCUACUUUCGUCACAACUAAGGGCUCCAAGACCGAGUAUUCCUGCUGCAAGGCAGACGUUAUGAAGACUUUUUGGACCCAGGAGUGGGAGUCACACAACAUCAUUGCCACUGAAUUCUCUUAGUUACAAGUGAGUCCCGAGUUUAUCCAGAUUCUAGGAGAAGAGAAUUAGAUUCUACUCCCUACUGGGAAUGUUCUAGAAGAGCAUUGGUUUCCAGAGGUAAUGCUGUGUCCAUCUUUAGAAAGUAGAAUCUGCCACAAGGAAUGUCCAAGCAUUGUUUCUAAAAGAAGUAAAUAAAUGUAAAAGAAGUAAAUAAAUAUUUUCUGAAUGAUUUCUCUGUCUCUCCUACUAAAGAUUUCCUCUAACUUCAAUUUUCAAAGAGCUCUGUUUUUGUUCCAAUAUUUCACAAUCUCCACUAGCAACUGCAUUCUGUCCUGUUUCUGAAUGGUGCUCUGUCUUCUACCAAGUCUGCUCUUUUAUAGAUUAUCUUCCCGAAACAUUGGUUCUCAAUUUUUACUUCAGUCCGUGUGCUUUCUCCAUCUGACUUCUCUAUAUUGUGACCCACCAGAAAGAUUUUGUUGAGCUUAGACUUCUGUUAUUUGUCUUGGGAUGAGUCUAGAAAAUCCAAUACACCCCCCUUACCUCAGCAGUUAUAUCCCAACCCACUCCCAUCCUAAUGAAAAUCACUUAAAUAUUUUAUGAAUUUCCUCUUUGUUCAUACUUUUCAGAUUUCUGUUCUCAUGUUUAACCUCUCUCAAGGCAUUCAAUUUGUUGUCUCUAUUCAUGUCUCUAUAAACUAACUAGACACAAUCAAUUCAAAUUUAGCAUGACUGCACUCAACUAUUUUCUACAUAAAUUUAUCUUCUUUACCCACUUCUCAAAGAAGGCUGCUGUAAGAACCAUUCAAUUCCUUGUACACCUUGUUCAUAACAGUAUUCUUCCCAAUAGCUAAAAAAUGAAAGUGUCCAUUGAUGAAUAAAUAAACUAAAUGUGGUAUGUACACACAAUGGAAUAUUAUGCAGCCUUAAAAAGGAAGGAAAUUCUGGCACCUGCCACAACAUGGAUGAACCUUAAGGACAUUAUGCUGAGUGAAAUAAGCCAGACACAAAAAGACAAACUGUGUAUGAUUCCACAUGCAUGAAAUUCCUAAAGUAGUCAAACGCAUAGAGACCAAAAGUAGACUAGUGGUUGCCAGGGGCUAGUAUAGUGGGAAAUAGGGAGUUAUUAUUUCAUGGGUACAGAGUUUCAGUUUCGCAAGAUGAAAUGUUCUGGAGAUGGGUGGUGGUGAUGUCUGCACAACAGUGUGAAUGUACUUAACACUGUGAACUGUACACGUCAAAAUAGUUGUUAGAAAAUUUUAUGUUGUAUGUAAUCUAACACAACUUUUUUUUUUAAUUGUUUAAUUACUUUACAUUUUCCUGGUCAAGUUUUGUAAGCCAUAUCUUUAUCUCAGCUUUGCUUCUGGGAGGACCCACGAAGACCCCUCAAACCAUUUUGUUAAAAAUCACACAUUGUGGAAGCAAAACCCAUUUGUGUAAUAAAACUGUUCUCUGAAACCAUGAUGGGUGAUCUUUAGCACCUAUAGAUAAGGAUGUGGACGCAAGUGGUUAUCUUAGUAGUAAUCUACGAAGAAGUGGUAGGAUUGUGGGAAAGUGAGAAAAGUUAAUAGAGGAUGCACUUGUGAGCAGGAGAAUGCCAGAGGUGUCUGAGCUCAGAUCUGCUGGGGAUCUCCGAAUACACCUCAGAAUUGUCCCUUCUUAUCUCUCUAGCCCUUCAUGAUGCUGCUAAUACCUGGAGCGUGUCAUGCCCCCCAUUUGCUUUUCUGCACUUCUGACCCUUACAUCGUCAUUUCCUUUAUUAAACACCCUCUAUUUGAAAUACCUAGAAAGGGACAAACUCAGUGCCAGCCCCUUCUCCACACACGAGCUGAUCUGAUAUCAUCCACACACUGAACCCAUGACAGCAUCCAUCUCUCUCCAGACAUCAUACAAGGUGAAAAAAUUAUUUACUUCAUCUGCUGUAUUUAGUUAAUCUGCUGUGAUUGAGAUUUUAUUUUACCCCUAAAGAAUCCAAAAGAUUGUUUAAAAAAAGUUGGCCUAAAAUGUAUACUGUACUUCAUUUAAUCAUUUCUCUCCAUUUAUUUAUUGUUUGUUUGCUUUUAGCAGCAUGUGCGAUAGACUGUUGGUUCACUGGACACGUCGGUACUUCCUAAUGUAUCAUAUCCUGUCCAUGGCCGAGUCUAGACUGUAAGAGAGACAGACUUCUAAAGAAUUAUCUCUGCUUCCACUUCUCUUUGAAACAAACUGAAGUGUUCUGUUCCAGGUAACUCCACACUCUCUUGGACCCAGGGUGCGUUCGUCUUACGACAAAUCACUGGUAGGCAAGAGCCAACCCAAGUCCCGCCAGCACAUUUAAGGCUUGUCUCACACUGACUCACAUUCCACUGGCCAGUGCAAGUCACGUUGCCACGCCCAACAUGAAGGGGGCUAAAAAGCAUUUUGCCGACAAAGGGAGGGGAAAGAGAGUGCUGAAAGCUAACUCUCCAACUUUACCAUGGAUCAGAAUUGCCUGGAGAAUUUGUUAAACCUGAUUGUAAGGCCCCAGCGCCAGAAUUUCUGAUUUGGUAGGUAUGGGGCCUAAUGAUGUGCUUUUCUAACAAAUUCCUGGUGGUGCCGAUGGUGCUGACGCUGCCCAUCCAGAGAGGACACUGAAAACCAUUGAUCUAAAUUCUCACCAUUGGCCUCCAGAGAUGCCAUGCAACAUCUAAGUGGGGAACAGGAGAGUGUGAAGUGCAAGAGGAAUGAAAACCCCAAAUGAUGACGUCUUAAGAUAGUCUUUGUGAAAAACAUGCAAAAGGAUCUCGGUUUAAUUAGCCUAAAGAAAGGCAGCUAACAGAGAAAUUAAUGACAGUCUUCAAGUCUGCAAUGGGAGAGGAGCAGCUGUUUUUCAGUGGACGGGAAGAGGAUGAGAAUGCACCAGGAGAGAUUCAAGGAAGCCGUGAGCAAAGCCAGCCCGUCUGCAAGGCUGUAGACGUGACGGGUACACUAAGGACUCUGAGAGAAGCAGAAUUAGAUCAUUUAAAGCAUGAAUCAUUUCCGCUCUAUAAUUAUUUGACUUUUGUCCUUUCACUGGAGCAAAAUGAGAAUUGUCUCUGAGGGUCACUUUUGGCUCCAUAAUUCUGUGAUGAGGAUAAGAGAAACAAUAAGGAAGAGGUAGAGACCAGAGGAAAGAACACCUUCUGCAUUUGUAAGUGCAUUCCAAGAUGCCAGCAAUUGUUUUUUAGAAAAGCAAACAUUUCUUAAUUUUGUUGUCACCCCUAACAUGUGAUGAACCUCAUCCCAUUGGGAAGGUGUCCCCUUUGGGGGUUGACUGAAAAAAGAAUGAUAACACAAGCCAGAGGACCUGACUCUGAGUCUAGAUUCUACCAUGUUUUUUUUGUUUUUGUUGUUGAAUGGUUAAUUACUUUAAUCUUUCUGAGUUUCUUGUCUGUCAAUGAGGAUAAUAAUUUCAACAACACUAGGGUGUUGGAAGGAUCCAAAGAGCUAAUAAA